UCCUGUGGGACCUAGGCAGCUUACAUGCUAAUAGGGGAAUGCUCCGCAUAUUUGGGAGUGGUGGCCAAGGAUCUCUGUUUCAUCCUGGGAAUCACCGGGAUGAUGAAGAAACUGAGGAUCAAAGAGCUGAAGCGACUUGUCUAGGGUGGCACAGAACCUUAAGGUUUGAAAUGGGGCUUGAAAUAGACAAAAGCGCAAGUUCAACGCGUGCCAAAAGUGCUGUACCCAGAAGUCCCGGAAGUUACAUCACGCGUAUGCGCAGUGGAUCAGAACUACAAUUCCCAGGAGCUCUGAGGCGUCGCGUGCCCUGACAACAGCCAAUCAUCAAGCGGCACAGGACGACAUGAGGGGGGGCGGGGCCUGUGGGUAUAUAAAGGAUUUCCCGAGAGGUGUUUGUCCUUUCGCUACACGAUGCCAGGUGGUGCCUUUGUGUCCAUCAUCCAGUUUCUGCACCCUGACAGAGGAACCUUCCGGCCUGAUGGCCUGGCUAGGGCUCCUCCAGGUGCCGGAUGGAAAAUGGUUGGCUAGAAGAGUCGCCUCCCUGGUUGCGGAGAGCGUGGCCGAGGCCUGCGCGGGGGUGAUGCACACUGGGCAUGCGCGAUGAGGGAGCAGCCGGGCGCCGCCGAAACGUUUUCCGUACGUGCACACGCACGUGACCCGGACUCUGUGUCCCGGCCGAACGGGGAGGGGGCUUCCUUCGGGCCUGGAGAAGAACACUCGGUACUGACCACUAGCUAAAGAAGAGGUGAUAAUCUGAUUGGCCUGUGCUCCCUUAGCAGUGCCGAGAAGCAAGUCAUGAGCGCAUCUGGCCAAGGAUACCUGCUUGCUUUCUGCUGGAUCAGGUUUGAUCAGAAGCCUGCCUGCUUGACCUUUACAACGAGAUGGUGAUGGUGUAUGAUUCAUGUUUCUUUUUGAUAAAAUGUGUGCUGACUUCUUUCAGGAAAGGCUGAAUCUUGUAUGUAAAUUCAUACUGGUUUUUCUGUUACAUGAAGGGACACACUGGGAGAAGCCCAAUAAUUUUUUUAUCAAUAAACAAUAGAAAAACUGAA